CCUACGGGGGGCAGCAGUAAGGAAUAUUGGUCAAUGGACGAAAGUCUGAACCAGCCAUGCCGCGUGAAGGAUGAAGGCCCUUGGGUUGUAAACUUCUUUUAUCUGGGACGCGGUACCAGAGGAAUAAGCACCGGCUAACUCCGUGCCAGCAGCCGCGGUAAUACGGAGGGUGCAAGCGUUAUCCGGAUUUACUGGGUUUAAAGGGUGCGUAGGUGGGUCUGUAAGUCAGUGGUGAAAUCUCCGAGCUUAACUCGGAAACUGCCAUUGAUACUAUAGAUCUUGAAUAUUCUGGAGGUGAGCGGAAUAUGUCAUGUAGCGGUGAAAUGCUUAGAUAUGACAUAGAACACCAAUUGCGAAGGCAGCUCACUACGGGAUAUUGACACUGAGGCACGAAAGCGUGGGGAUCAAACAGGAUUAGAUACCCUUGUAGUC
rnacentral:rRNA from 1 species